CCUACGGGAGGCAGCAGUGGGGAAUCUUAGACAAUGGGCGCAAGCCUGAUCUAGCCAUGCCGCGUGAGUGACGAAGGCCUUAGGGUCGUAAAGCUCUUUCGCCAGGGAUGAUAAUGACAGUACCUGGUAAAGAAACCCCGGCUAACUCCGUGCCAGCAGCCGCGGUAAUACGGAGGGGGUUAGCGUUGUUCGGAAUUACUGGGCGUAAAGCGCGCGUAGGCGGAUUGGAAAGUUGGGGGUGAAAUCCCAGGGCUCAACCCUGGAACUGCCUCCAAAACUAUCAGUCUAGAGUUCGAGAGAGGUGAGUGGAAUUCCGAGUGUAGAGGUGAAAUUCGUAGAUAUUCGGAGGAACACCAGUGGCGAAGGCGGCUCACUGGCUCGAUACUGACGCUGAGGUGCGAAAGUGUGGGGAGCAAACAGGAUUAGAUACCCUGGUAGUCCACACCGUAAACGAUGAAUGCCAGACGUCAGGGGGUUUUACCCUUUGGUGUCACACCUAACGGAUUAAGCAUUCCGCCUGGGGAGUACGGUCGCAAGAUUAAAACUCAAAGGAAUUGACGG
rnacentral:rRNA from 2 species